rnacentral:rRNA from 1 species
GUUCAGCACUAAGUCACUUUGUCUUUAUGGCAAAUGUGAGAUGCAGUGUAUGGAAUGUCAAAUUUCUAGUAUGAGAAAUUAACGAUUUAAGUCCUUCUUAAAUGAGGCCAUUUACCCACAGAGGGUGCCAGGCCCGUAUAACGUUAAUGAUUACUAGAUGGCAUUUCCAAAGAGUCGUGUUGCUUGAUAGUGCAGCACUAAGUGGGUGGUAAACUCCAUCUAAAACUAAAUAUAACCAUGAGACCGAUAGUAAACAAGUACCGUGAGGGAAAGUUGAAAAGAACUCUGAAUAGAGAGUUAAAUAGUACGUGAAACUGCUUAGAGGUUAAGCCCGAUGAACCUGAAUAUCCAUUAUAGAAAAUUCAUCAUUAUGAUUUUAAUAUUAAUAAUAUUAUAAUAAUGGUGUGCAUUUUUUCUAUAACGGACAUUGUAAUCUAUUAACAUAAAUAUAUUUAUCAUAAGAUCAAUGAUGCGUAAGUUUAUUCAAAUUAUUUUGCUUGCAAUUUAACAUAGAAUAAAUGCUCUUGAUUUGAUAAAGUGUUGAUAGAUUUAUUGUAUAUAGUGCUUAAAUAUUUAUAUUUUAUAAUAGCAUAUUAAUCAUUGAUUUUUAUGUUUAUUAUAUGCACUUAUAUGAUUAACAAUGCGAAAGAUUCAGGAUACCUUCGGGACCCGUCUUGAAACACGGACCAAGGAGUCUAACAUAUUUGCAAGUUAUUGGGUAUCAAAACCUAAUAGCGAAAUUAACAUGACUUUUAAUGGGAUUAGUUUUUAGAUUAUUUAUAGUCUAUUAAUUCAAUCCCGGGGCGUUCUAUAUAGUUAUGUAUAAUAAUAUUUAUAUUAUUUAUAUCUCUAACUAGAGCGUACCUUGAGCAUAUAUGCUGUGACCCGAAAGAUGGUGAACUAUACUUGAUCAGGUUGAAGUCAGGGGAAACCCUGAUGGAAGACCGAAACAGUUCUGACGUGCAAAUCGAUUGUCAGAAUUGAGUAUA